UCUGAUCUCAGAUCAAGCAAGAAGACCCGCCGAAUUUAAGCAUAUAAUUAAGCGGAGGAAAAGAAACUAACCAGGAUUCCCCUAGUAAGGGCGACUGAAGCGGGAAUAGCUCACGAUGUGAAUCAGCGCUGCUUUGUGGCGCCGAAUUGUGGUCUGAAAACGUUUGCAUUACUGGCGGGGCCAAGUCCCUUGGAACAGGGCAGCCGAGGGGGUGAGACUCCCGUGUGCCCUGCCUUUGGAGCGAGCGUUUGACGAGUCGAGUUGUUUGGG
rnacentral:rRNA from 1 species